rnacentral:lncRNA from 1 species
UUUUUUUUUUUUUUUUUGGUUCCAGAAAAGAUUUUUUGUUAAUUUAAAAACGGGCAGAAAGUAUUCAAGAAAAACAAUGUGAACUGCUUUAGCUUUCUGGGGAUUUUUAAGGAUAGCUUUUCUGCUGAAGCCAAUUUCAAGGGGAAAAGUUAAGCACUCCCACUUUCAGAAAAAAAAAAUAAUAAUAACCCACACACACAAAGAGUGUUGAGGACUUGUAGCUUAAAAAAAAAUAAGUUUUAAAAACUGACUUUCUGUAUUUAUGAUAGAUAUGACCAUUUUUGGUGUUGAGUAGAUUGUUGCAUUGGAAAUGAACUGAAGCAGUAUGGUAGAUUUAAAAGGAAAAAAAAAAAAACCUUUUGUGUACAUUUAGCUUUUUGUAUGGUCCAGCUGACAGCUUCUCAUUUGAUGUUGUCUUGUUCAUUCCUAGCAGAUAGAUUGCAAUCCGUUGAUUCGCCUAAGCUUUUCUCCUGCUUUGUCCCUUAAUUCCACUUUCUCUUUCCUUCUCCCACCUCCCAUCCUAUAAUCUCCCACUUAAGGUAGCUGCCUUCAUUUCUUAGAGGGAGCUGCAGAAUUAUUUUAUAAAACUAAAGAAAGAAUUUCAAGGGAUUCUAGGGGUCAUUAGGAUCCUCACAGAUUAUUUUUGGUUGGGGAGUUGAAACUUUUUAAAGGCAUAUAAUUCUAGUUACCUGUGUCUGUUAGCCUUGUGCAUUUAUUUUUUUAUUUAUCCUUCUUUUGGCCUUUUCUUUGUACCCCUUCUUUUCUUCCUUGUUUGGUAGAUGCUUCAAAUAUUCUUUUCCUUUACUAAAGGAUUUGUUUCCAUUUGUGUAAUUGGCUGUGUACUUUUAUUUUCUAAAAAAGUUUUUGGUUAGGGAUUUGGUUUUUGGUUUUGUGUUUGUUUUUUCUUUCUUCUCUCAGAAAAAAAAAAAAUUCAUGCUUUAAAUAAAAUCCAAAGACACACCCUUUCACUGCUGAUGCAGAAAAAAGGGAAAGGGUUCUUGUUACUUGAGAAUUUGUUUCUGAUUUAAACAAACAAGACUUACUUUAAUAAAAGAAAGAGAAAAACAAAAGAUUCCCAGGUUGUUAUGUGCUUCUUCUGCAAGCAGAGAGGCAACUGUUAAUGACAAUUCCAUAUACCAAAAGACACAUUUUUUACUUCAAAGUUUUGUCCUUGUGUUAGGCAGUCUGAGCGGCGAGUGAUCCGGAGCGCAGCCAACAAAGCAGCAGAUAGCAGUGUACAGAAAGCAAAAAAGGAACCGUAUGUUAGGCACUUGUUUAUGUUAAUAUCCAUAUUCCUGUAACACACACCCUUUCUCAUGUAAAAAAAUAAAAUAAACGGUCUGAACUUUGAAAACUUUGUGCUGCUAAAACAUAGAUUUUGGAGACAAAUAGAUGCUUUGCUGUUUCACUUUCAUAGCUAAACAUCAACAGAAACCAUCUCCCCUUGCCCCCAAAGUGUGAAAACCUUCUCCCCUUCGUUUUCUUCCUUAUGUUUCAAAAGGGAACUUUGAAGACUGUGAAUGCAGGUUCC